rnacentral:piRNA from 1 species
GCUGUCUCCUCAGAGCGACUGACUGACU